ACGACGCUGGCGGCGUGCUUAACACAUGCAAGUCGAACGGAAGGCCCCUUGUGGGGUACUCGAGUGGCGAACGGGUGAGUAACACGUGAGUAACCUACCCUUGACUUUGGGAUAACUUCAGGAAACUGGGGCUAAUACCGGAUAGGAGCUCCUGCUGCAUGGUGGGGUUGGAAAGUUUCGGCGGUUGGGAUGGACUCGCGGCUUAUCAGCUUGUUGGUGGGGUAGUGGCUCACCAAGGCUUUGACGGGUAGCCGGCCUGAGAGGGUGACCGGCCACAUUGGGACUGAGAUACGGCCCAGACUCCUACGGGAGGCAGCAGUGGGGAAUAUUGCACAAUGGGCGGAAGCCUGAUGCAGCAACGCCGCGUGCGGGAUGACGGCCUUCGGGUUGUAAACCGCUUUCGCCUGUGACGAAGCGUGAGUGACGGUAAUGGGUAAAGAAGCACCGGCUAACUACGUG
rnacentral:rRNA from 1 species